rnacentral:lncRNA from 1 species
CCUCAUUCCUUCAUCUGUAAAAUGAGUAUAACAAUAGUUUCUGUCACAUUGGAUAGUCAUGAAAAUUAAAUAAUAUUAUACAUGUGAAUUAACUACUUUUAGUUAUAAGCUUGGAACUUUAACUCAGGAGAAACAAAUUGUUUAGGUGACACAUCAUAACUAACUGUCCUGGUGGGGCCAAGUCAUUGUAGGAUAGAAUGCCUCCUUCACAGAGCUCGUGCCAUAGAAACCGCAGGCUCUUUCAGAACUGCCAGGUUGAUUUUUUUUUAAAUUCAUCCCCUAGGAGGCUUACAAACUGCUAAAGGCUUCACUGAAGUCCCAGAUCAUCAGCUAUGGUGACUGUAGCAAAAAGGUGGCUGAAACUUUUUAUAACUUGGGCAGGAUCUGCUUUGCCAAAGGAGAGCUCAGAAAGGCAAUUCAGCUGCUAAGGAAGGUGAGCCAACGAAGGUGAAUUCUGGCUGGUUUGUUACAUUUUAUCCUGGGCUUAUCAGCAGAAUUGAAGAGUGAUGUUUGUAUAUAUGUAUGUAUAUCUCUUCCCUUCCAGGGUGUACAAACCAUUAAAAUGCUGACAGAACAAAGGCUAGAGACUUAGUAAGAUAGAUAGGGAUGCCUCUACCUAACACCUAGUUUUGCUCAAAGUCAGGGAAGAAGUCUAUGAAGAUCAACUAACACUCAAGUGAGCAGAGGGUUGAGUGACAGGCAAUCCACAUAUUGCAUUGAUAAACAUCAAGUUUGGACAAAUUUUUGUCUCAUUUUAGGUUAGCUUAAUGUAAACAAAAAAAAAUCACAAAUAACAGGAAAAAGGUACCUUACUUGAAGAGAACCACCGUAAAUAUCCAUGGUUCUUUUUCAUGAAGUGUCUGCUAAACAUCUUCUGGGGCUUUCAGCUCUCUCGGAGAGUCUGGUGAGCUUUGGUCUCCUUUCCUGUAUAAUGCCCAGAAACAGUCAAAACAAUAAUCUGGGAUAAUCAUAGGGUUAACCUCACUUGUUAUCCUUUUCUUAGGGAUCAUGGUCUUUUAUUGUCUGAUGUAUGGUAUCUUAAAAAUUAAAAAGUUUUAAAAAUUAAUGCACUUUUGUCUACUUUUUUCAUUUUUUUGUUGAUUCAGGUAUAGAGAAAAUCUGGUCCCUACCAUUCCAUGUUGGCUAGAAACAAAGUUCAGCAAUAAAAUUCAAAAUGGAAACCUACCUAAAGUAAAAUUAUGCAGCAUGAGAAAACAAGGCAGCUUUGGGAUAUAUGCCUAAAUCUCAUUUUAUUUAAUUUCUAUCCAUUAGUUAUAGCUAUGUGGAAAAUGCUAAUGGAAUCCACUACUGUAGUCAUGUUUUAAGCAGGGAUGCUAUCAGUUUGGGGCUGUUACUUUAGUUAUCAGCAGCCAUGUUUGGUAGAGGAAGGUGAAGCAAACUGGAGUAUGCAUGCAGCAUGAGUGUUAUAGAAGGUAACUAAAGAGGCUUCAGUGACAGUUCUUUUCCUACUUGGUAGGGAACCAAUGACAUGUAAUAUAGGCAUUCCAAAUUUAAAGUUAUGAUAUUCCAGUUCCACUGGUCCUUUUCUGAGUUAAUUUGCAUUUAAGGUACUUGCUAUAGGAUUCUCUUUAACCUAUUAUGUUUCUCACUUCACAUACAGUGUCUGAUGAUUCAAAUUCUUGUAUAUGGAAGUGAGCAUAGUAGAAGCAAAGAGACAAAAGGCCUCCUUACCCAACUGCAGAGGUAAGUUCUGUUCCUGGGCAUCAACCAGAUCAUCAGUGUGAAUAUACAUCUAGCAAAGGCCUCUCACUGAUUAAACCAGUGUUUAAAGUCAGCUUCUUCUCUGCUGUGUCUAAAAGACCUGACAAGAACAAUUUUAAGGUGGAAAAGUUUAUUGGGGGCUUAUAAUUUCUGAGGUCAAAGUCCAGUUCCAUACCUUGGGGCUGGAGGUGAGGCAAAACAUCAUGACAGAAGAGUGUGGUGGAGGAAGGCAGAUCAGGACAUGGCCACCAACAAGUCAAGAGAGACUCUCCUCACCACAGACAACAUAUGUAUCUACAGGUACACCCCGAUGACCCAGCUUCUCCAGUUACACUCUACCUGCCUACAGUUACCACUCACUACAGUUAUCACAGGAUUAAUGCACUGAUUAGGUUAAGGUUUUGAUAACUGAAUCGUUUCACCUCUAAGUUUUCUUGCAUUAUCUCACACAUGAGCUUUUGGGAAACACCUAAUAUUGAAACCAUACAACCAGAUGGUGAUGAUUUACUUCUGUCAUUGUUACUAGUAAGACAAAAUGCCUCUGCUAUAGAUUUAGCUAAAUCCUGUGCUGAGGGUAACCAACUUAUUUCUUGUAUUCUUUUAGAACACAGUAUUGUAGCUAGGCACAGUGGUACCCACCUGUAAUCCCAGUGACAUAGGAGGCUGAGGCAGGCGGAUCACAAGUUUGAGGCCAGCCUCAGAAACUUAGCAAGAACUCUGUCUAGAGAUAAAAAAAAUAAAAAGGGCUGGGGAUUUAGCUCUAUGGUAAAGUGCCCCUGGGUUUGAUCCCUAGUACUAAAAGUUAUCACACACAGUUUAUAGGUUUCUGCUACAGUAAUAAUGUUCUUUAUAAUAUCUUUUUCAAUGCCAAACAUUAUAGCUAAAUUCUGCAAGUUAAUGCAGUGUGAUAGAUAUGAUAUGGAUUUAUACAAAUUCAAUUAUUUUUCUUUUUUUUUGUCAAAAGAAGGAGCUUUAUUUAUUUAUUUUUAGGAGCUUUAUUUUAUGCAACAUAAAAACAUAAUUGCUUUUACUUUCUACCACUAUAAUAGCAACAUUUUAUCUAGAGUUAGAUCCAAGCUAAGCUUCUGGGAUUUGACAUAACAAAUUGCUUCCCAUAUGUGUCAGUUAUUUUUCUUGAUGAAGGUACAAAGUCCAUGUUCCUAAAUGUAUGGUACAUUCAUUGGGAAUUUACUUAUUUUCAAUGUUAGUGAUGAGAGAACUUGUUUGUAUUCUGUUCUUGAAUGUUUAGACAUAAGCUGAAGAGAAUAUAUGCAGACUUGCCUCAUUCUUUAGCCGUGGUAUAUUACUGAUAUUAUUUACCUCUACAUGAUGUUGACACUGAAAUGUUCUCUGAGAAAGAGGAGAAUUAAAAUUAGUUGAAUAUUUACUAACUGCCUAUCUCUCAUAAAGUAUUUUAUUUAAGCAAGCCUUACAAAUACCCAAUUUGAAAGCUCUCAUUUGAUAGAAGGGAGCCUGAUGUUCUGUAAAGGAAUUUGCCUAAAGCCUCUGUCUUGGACAUUCAAGGAAGUGCUACCCUUUAGAUGAUGUGCUUUUUUCUGAGAGCCUCAAACAAAGAAGGGUCAUCCUUAUUGGGUGAGAGUUAGGACCCUGAUUGCAUUUACCACAUGGGACUCACAAUCCAUCUCUUCUCAGUGGGCUCACCAGGGAGAAAAAAUGAGAAGGAAGAAUACUUUCAGCCCAUCCUCUCUGCACCAACCUCAGUCAGAGCCACAUGUAAGGCAGGACCCACAGAAGGCUAGCUCCUUUUUAAAAAAUCCUUAAGCAGAGGAUGAGGUUCUCCAGCUUCCCUCUGUGAUGCCAAAGUUAGGAGUAUAGAGAGGAACAGCCAAACGGCAACACAGAGAACUUUGUUCCUUGCCUGUCAGUGAAUUGAAAGCAUAUUUGCUUAAUAAGUAACCAUAAAAUAUGAACAAUUAUCAUAUCAAAGUCCUUCAUUUCCCUGACAUUGUACUAUAUUAAUAUGUGUUAUUUCUGAUUGAUAAACCACGCUGCUUGUUAGGUAUUUUUUGUCUCCCAUGAUGAAACAGAGGCUCAGAAUAUUUGUAUAUCUUGUCAGAAAUCUCCAUUUUGGUAAGUGUGGUAAGAUUUGAAUCCAAGUUGAUUAGAUUUCAAAACUGCCCUUAUUUUACUAUAUAAUAUGUAUUCAGAUUUUGAUGAUGGGUACACAUAUGCACAUUACCUGUUCAUCAAGUAAGACUCCAG